rnacentral:rRNA from 1 species
UACGUAGGGCGCGAGCGUUGUCCGGAAUUAUUGGGCGUAAAGAGCUCGUAGGUGGCUUGUCGCGUCUGCCGUGAAAGCCCGUGGCUUAACUACGGGUCUGCGGUGGAUACGGGCAGACUAGAGGCAGGUAGGGGAGAAUGGAAUUCCCGGUGUAGCGGUGAAAUGCGCAGAUAUCGGGAGGAACACCGGUGGCGAAGGCGGUUCUCUGGGCCUGUACUGACGCUGAGGAGCGAAAGCGUGGGGAGCGAACAGG